CCUACGGGGGGCAGCAGUGAGGAAUAUUGGUCAAUGGGCGUAAGCCUGAACCAGCCAAGUCGCGUGAGGGAUGAAGGUUCUAUGGAUCGUAAACCUCUUUUAUAAGGGAAUAAAGUGUGGGACGUGUCCUAUUUUGUAUGUACCUUAUGAAUAAGGAUCGGCUAACUCCGUGCCAGCAGCCGCGGUAAUACGGAGGAUCCGAGCGUUAUCCGGAUUUAUUGGGUUUAAAGGGUGCGUAGGCGGCCUUUUAAGUCAGCGGUGAAGGUCUGUGGCUCAACCAUAGAAUUGCCGUUGAAACUGGGGGGCUUGAGGAUGUUUGAGGAAGGCGGAAUGCGUGGGGUAGCGGUGAAAUGCUUAGUGAUCACGCAGAACCCCGAUUGCGAAGGCAGCCUGCCAAGCCAUGACUGACGCGGAUGCACGAAAGCGUGGGGAUCAAACAGGAUUAGAUACCCGAGUAGUC
rnacentral:rRNA from 1 species